rnacentral:rRNA from 1 species
UACGUAGGGGGCAAGCGUUGUCCGGAUUUAUUGGGCGUAAAGAGCGUGUAGGCGGUUUGGUAGGUCCGCUGUGAAAACUCGAGGCUCAACCUCGAGACGCCGGUGGAAACCAUCAGACUAGAGUCCGGAAGAGGAGAGUGGAAUUCCUGGUGUAGCGGUGAAAUGCGCAGAUAUCAGGAAGAACACCCGUGGCUAAGGCGGCUCUCUAGUACGGUACUGACGCUGAGACGCGAAAGCCAGGGGAGCGAACGGG